rnacentral:rRNA from 1 species
GUGCCUAGUUAGCAUUAUACCGUGGAACUGCGAAUGGCUCAUUAAAUCAGUUAUCGUUUAUUUGAUAGUACCUUACUACUUGGAUAACCGUGGUAAUUCUAGAGCUAAUACAUGCUAAAAACCCCAACUUCGGGAGGGGUGUAUUUAUUAGAUAAAAAACCAAUGCCCUUCGGGGCUCCUUGGUGAUUCAUAAUAACUUCUCAGAUCGCAUGGCCUUGCGCCGGCGACGGUUCAUUCAAAUUUCUGCCCUAUCAACUUUCGAUGGUAAGGUAUUGGCUUACCAUGGUUUCAACGGGUAACGGGGAAUUAGGGUUCGAUUCCGGAGAGGGAGCCUGAGAAACGGCUACCACAUCCAAGGAAGGCAGCAGGCGCGCAAAUUACCCAAUCCCGACACGGGGAGGUAGUGACAAUAAAUACUGAUACAGGGCUCUUUAGGGUCUUGUAAUUGGAAUGAGUACAAUUUAAACCUCUUAACGAGGAACAAUUGGAGGGCAAGUCUGGUGCCAGCAGCCGCGGUAAUUCCAGCUCCAAUAGCGUAUAUUAAAGUUGUUGCAGUUAAAAAGCUCGUAGUUGAACCUUUGGCCUGGCUGGCGGGUCCGCCUCACCGCGUGCACUCGUCCGGCCGGGCCUUUUCUUCUGGAGAACCGCAUGCCCUUCACUGGGUGUGUUGGGGACCAGGACUUUUACUUUGAAAAAAUUAGAGUGUUCAAAGCAGGCCUUUGCUCGAAUACGUUAGCAUGGAAUAAUAGAAUAGGACGUGCGGUCCUAUUUUGUUGGUUUCUAGGACCGCCGUAAUGAUUAAUAGGGACAGUCGGGGGCAUCAGUAUUCAAUUGUCAGAGGUGAAAUUCUUGGAUUUAUUGAAGACUAACUACUGCGAAAGCAUUUGCCAAGGAUGUUUUCAUUAAUCAGUGAACGAAAGUUAGGGGAUCGAAGACGAUCAGAUACCGUCGUAGUCUUAACCAUAAACUAUGCCGACUAGGGAUCGGGCGGUGUUAUUAUUUUGACUCGCUCGGCACCUUACGAGAAAUCAAAGUGUUGGGUUCUGGGG